UUGUCAACAUGGCUGGAAAUUUGACCAACGAUGAACGAAAGCAACAAGAUGUCUACUUUCCUCCACCCCUAUGUGUAAUGAUUUCUCAAUAAACACGGGACUAUCUAUGUAUGUCUGCAUGUUUGAAAGUAUGUAUGUACUUAUAUAUACUCUAAAAUUUUAAAAUUUGGCACAAUAAUACACUUGCCCAAACUGAAUUGCUGGAGUUAUUUCAUUUUUUUUCCCAGAAAAAUGUUUUUAAAAUGUUAUAGAAGUUUAAAGUUUGAUCAUUUUCACCCAAUCAGGAAACAGGAUUUGGAAGCUGUCAUUUUGUGCUUGACUGCACAUUUUGUCGUCAUCAUCCUGAAAAUAUUUAAUGCAAAUGCGAUGAACAACACGCUACAUGCGAUAAACACAUUACAAUUUUAAACAGAAAGAUUUGGAAGAAUUGGAUGAAAGUUCUCCGACAAUCGGUUUAACGAAAAUGCAGACUUAUAUAUGUAGGGAUACACAUAAACGUAUAUAGAAUUUUCAAUGGCCGGAUAACUGAAGAGAUGUUGGUGUGGGCUCCCACCCCGGCAUCCGAAACUCGGAGUUUUAUCAUGGCUACCAAAUAAGUGUCACAUAUUUUUACAGAUAAAUUCCUCUAUUUACAUAAUAUCGAGGUCUCUUUCUUUUCUUUUGUUGUCCUUCCUAUCAAUAUAUAUACGUACACCAAUACGACAUACACUCACACACGUACAUGCGUACACAUAUAACAUUGUCGAAGUUGGCUCGCUCGAGAGUGCUCGGGAAUACCAACCAAUCGGACAGACGUGUUUCGAUACUAGUUUUACAUUGUGUUUCUGACGAAGAUACUUUGAUUUCAACCGCUCAUUUCAUAACGGACUCAAAUAUCCUCCUUGUGUAUCCGGUAAAACUUUCAACAAAGUUAACUGCUAUCAAGAACAACUCUCUCGGACGACUGCUCCUAUCUACCCGGCCAACUGCAUCCACUCACCCGGACAACCGCCUACUAAUAAUUGUCUCCAGGCAAUUAUUAAUUACAUGGUAAAAUGCGAGCAAUCUUAA